GGCCUACCUUGGUGGUAACGGGUAACGGGGAAUUAGGGUUCGAUUCCGGAGAGGGAGCCUGAGAAACGGCUACCACAUCCAAGGAAGGCAGCAGGCGCGCAAAUUACCCAAUCCCGACACGGGGAGGUAGUGACAAUAAAUAACAAUACGGGGCUCUUUCGGGUCUCGUAGUUGGAAUGAGUACAAUUUAAAUCCCUUAACGAGGAACAAUUGGAGGGCAAGUCUGGUGCCAGCAGCCGCGGUAAUUCCAGCUCCAAUAGCGUAUAUUAAAGUUGUUGCAGUUAAAAAGCUCGUAGUUGAAUUUCGGGAUUGACACAUCGGUCGUGCCUUAAGGGGUAUGAACUGGUGUAGUCAAUUUCUCACCUUCUGGAGAACCACGAUGCCCUUAAUUGGGUGUCGCGGGGAACCAGGACCUUUACUUUGAAAAAAUUAGAGUGUUUAAAGCAGGCAUUUUGCUUGAAUACAUUAGCAUGGAAUAAUAAAAUAGGACGGCAUGAUUCUAUUUUGUUGGUUUCUAGGAUCACCGUAAUGAUUAAUAGGGAUAGUUGGGGGCAUUAGUAUUCAAUUGUCAGAGGUGAAAUUCUUGGAUUUAUUGAAGACUAACUACUGCGAAAGCAUUUGCCAAGGAUGUUUUCAUUAAUCAAGAACGAAAGUUAGGGGAUCGAAGACGAUCAGAUACCGUCGUAGUCUUAACCAUAAACUAUGCCGACUAGGAAUCAGACGAUGUUAAUUUUUUAAUGACUCGUUUGGCACCUUACG
rnacentral:rRNA from 1 species